rnacentral:rRNA from 1 species
UACGUAGGGGGCAAGCGUUGUCCGGAAUCAUUGGGCGUAAAGAGCGUGUAGGCGGCUUGGUAAGUCCGCUGUGAAAGUCCAGGGCUCAACCCUGGAAUGCCGGUGGAAACUGUCAAGCUUGAGUCCAGAAGAGGCGAGUGGAAUUCCUGGUGUAGCGGUGAAAUGCGCAGAUAUCGGGAGGAACACCAAUGGCGAAGGCAGCUCGCUGGGACGUGACUGACGCUGAGACGCGAAAGCGUGGGGAGCAAACAGG